rnacentral:rRNA from 1 species
UGGAUUCGCUAGUAAUCGCGCAUCAGCCAUGGCGCGGUGAAUACGUUCCCGGGCCUUGUACACACCGCCCGUCACACCAUGAGAGUUGGCAAUACCCAACGUACGUGAUCUAACCCGCAAGGGAGGAAGCGUCCUAAGGUAGGGUCAGCGAUUGGGGUGAAGUCGUAACAAGGUAGC